rnacentral:lncRNA from 1 species
UAUGGGGUGCUACUCAGGUGCUCUAACUACUAGGCUAGAGGCACUUUCACUUAUUUGCAAUUAUAUUGUAUGGAAAGUAUAAAAAUAUAUUUAAUUAUUUCCUAUAUAUAAAAACAAUAACUAAACUUUGUAUACUACGUUCACAUGCAGUUGCUCUACUACUUUUUUACUUUACUUUCACUUCAUAAACUCACAAAAUAUGAUUGAAUUAUUCAUUCAUUCUAAUUUUAUCUUUUAC